GCGAAGGUGGCACAGCGGCUACUGCAUUCGGUUGCAGCCCGAAUUUUCGCGGGUUCGAGUCCCGCCCUUCGCU
rnacentral:tRNA from 1 species